AGGGCGACACUAGGUGCCCUCAGUUGCAUAACUAUGAAAUCCAUAAAGAGAUGGCACCACUGUUGCCCGGGUAUAUAUAUGGGUGCUCGCAUGAAUAAAGGGUCUUGCGUCUGGUGUGAUAUGGGUUGACAUCUGUCUCAUUCUUCUGCUGGCCAACACUACAAUUUGGCGACGAGGAUGGGAUCCGCUGCACUUUCGCCGCCGCCGCUAUUCCUCGCUACCCCGGGCACUCCAGCCAUUCCAUGGCCCCGCUGGAUACGCCUCUUCGAGAACUUCCUUCUCGCGUCUGGAGCUGCCGACCUGCCUGCGUCCCGCCGCCGAGCUCUUUUGCUACACUGCUUGGGGCCGGAAGGACAACGCAUCUUCGAUGCACUCCCAUCGCCAACUGCGCCGAACGAAGCUGCUUCAGCCGCGCUCUCCGAGCAAGACGCCACAGCGACUAGUUCCCCAGACACAUACGACGUGGCCCGCGAGACGCUGGCUCGACAUUUCGCCGACACGCGCAACGUUCGGCUGGAACGCAACCACUUCCGCGAACGCCGUCAGCUACACGGUGAGUGCAUCUCUGACUUCGCCCUCGCGCUUCGAGAACUGGCUGCCUCUUGCAAUUUCGGCGAGCAAGCAAACGAAAACAUGUGCGAUCAGUUCAUCACUGGCGUUGCAUCUCCGCAGUUACGUUCACGAUUGUUAUUGGAAGGAGACGCACUGACUUUCGAUCGUGCCGUCGAAAUUGCGCUACUUCGUGAGCGAGCUCAGCUCGAGUCUGAAGCCUUUGCUAACCCCAUUCAGCGCAUCAUACAACAGCCACGCCAACGUGAUGCUUUUGGAAUGGCCAGACAAGAUAACCGGCGUUUCAGCGACAAUGGCACGCGCGUCCCAAGUCAAGCCCGCGUUCGUCAUGCUCUCCCGCCAACUUCAGACGCGGCCACCGCCAUUGUUCCGUACAGCGGAAAUUCAGGUGUCUGCGGUAAUUGCGGCACAGCAGGUUGCGAGCCGUCUGUGUGCCCCGCUCGCGGUAAGACCUGCUUCGCAUGCGGCCGCCGUGGCCACUUCAUGCGAGUCUGCCGUAGCAGCCGCAGCGCACGAGGACGACGCCCGGCUCGCGUCCGCGAAGUAGUUUCUGAACAGGACACGUCACACACCAUCAGCAUUCUCACUGUUUACGAAGAUAAGCCCACGGGUGUCUACAUUGAAGUGGCACUCACGCCAAUCAACUCCAAAUCGCAACCGCGCGUUGUGAAGUUCUUGGUCGACACUGGAUCCGCUGUGUCAAUUAUACGGGAACAAGAAUUCCGAAGCGUGUUCGAAGACAGCAUACAAUUGACCAGCUCUAAGCUUACUUUGUUGGACUUCCAACGCCGGAAGAUUCCUGUGCUGGGACAAUUUAAAGCUGGAAUCUCGUACAAGGAAAAAACAGCCGUUAUAGCAAUUCAUGUCACACCCGGAGGGACUUCUCUUCUUGGUCUGGACGCUGUGCAAGCUCUAGAGCUACAUAUUGUGGGUGCACAGCUACGUUGCCUGCACACGGCUGCCGAAGAAGCUUCAGGUGCCAUGCUGGACGGAGCAGCCAAAACGGCACAGGAACAGCACAGCCCGCUAAGUCCACCAAAGUUCGGCAUGCCAGCUUUGCUAUGGGCAAAAUUUUGCCAUUUGUUCUCACCAGGCCUUGGACUUGCCAAGGGCAUUCAGCACAAGGUCAAGAUAAAGUCGUCAGCCUCUCCAGUCGUGCAAAAGCUCAGACGUUUGCCACUUUCUCUGCGCAAGCCGGUUAGCGACCAGCUUGAGCGUCUUCUUUCUGAUGAUGUCAUUGAAAGGGUUAACGCUUCCGAGUGGGUUUCUCCUAUCGUUGUAGUCCGCAAGAAGGACGACAGUAUCCGCCUCUGCGUUGACUUAAGAGAGCCUAACAAAGCGAUUGUCGUCGACAGCUUUCCCUUGCCCCAUACGGAAGAGCUUCUACACUCUCUGAAUGGAGCACGCCACUUUUCAAAGCUCGAUUUAGCUUCUGCCUAUUACCAGGUGCUGCUUCACCCAGAUAGCAGAGACCUCACUGCUUUCAUUACGCACGAUGGCCUUUUUCGUUUCAAAAGGGUGUGUUUCGGACUGGCAUCAGCCCCAGCUGCGUUUCAACAACUCAUGACAACGGUCCUGCGAGGCUGCAAAGGGGUACUGUGCUACCUAGACGACAUCAUUAUCUUUGGCAGGACUGAAAAAGAGCAUUUGAGAAAUCUGGAGCAAGUUCUUCAACGUAUCGCUGAAGCUGGACUUAAGCUCAAUGAUAAAUGCGUGUUUAAUGCAUCGGAGUUACCAUUUCUUGGGCAUCGCGUCAGCUCGGAAGGAAUAGCUCCCCUUCAAGCCAAGGUUGAUGCCAUUGUUCACGCUGCCACCCCCACAGACACAAGCAUGCUGCGUUCAUUUUUGGGCUUGGUUGAGUACUAUGCUAAGUUUAUUCCCCACCUGGCUGAAGAAGUAGAACCUAUGCGUAGGUUGCUUCGUAAGGAUGUACAUUUUGAAUGGGAUGACGCUGCCGAAAAGAGCUUUGCCAGGGUGAAGAAGCUGCUAUCAUCGCACAAGAUACUGCAAAUGUUCGAUCCGACUCUCCCUGUUAUUGUGGCCACAGAUGCGUCUGCUUAUGGCCUGGGAGCAGUACUACAACAGGCUCAUGGCCCACACACUCGGACUGUUGCAUUCGCAUCCCGAACUCUGACAGAAACGGAGCGGAAGUACUCAGCGGGAGAGCGGGAGGCCCUGGCGUGUCUGUGGGCAUGCGAAAAAUGGCACACUUAUCUCUGGGGACGACCAUUCACGUUGGUAACGGACCAUCAAGCUCUAGUAUCUCUACUUUCGACACAAAGCACAGGACAGCGACCACUUCGCAUCACAAGGUGGACCGCUCGUUUGCUUCGUUACAAUUUCACAGUUCAGUACAGACGUGGAGAAUACAACAAGGUAGCAGACGCUUUGUCCCGGCUGCCUGUUCCAGACACAGAAGAUGGCCUUCAGAGUGAAGAGGAAGUUGUGUCUCUGGUCACAUCUUCAGUUCAUGUCAAUGACCUUCGACUUGCUACAGCCGAGGAUUGCAAACUCCAGGAGGUUGUUCAUUUUGUUCAGACAUCAUGGCCAGCGAAGAAAUAUUUGACUGCUGAACUGACUCCUUACUAUGAGGUCCGGGAGGAAUUGUCGAUAGCAGAUGGUCUGCUUAUGCGCUCGGAGCGUAUUGUGGUUCCAGCCAAGCUCACUGCUACGUUUAUUCAGCUUGCCCAUGAAUCGCACCCGGGAAUUGUGAAGACCAAGCAACGUCUUCGUGAAAAGUACUGGUGGCCAGGUCUGGACAAACAAGUAGAGACUGCCAUCCGAAACUGCACGGUCUGUCAGUCGGCAGACAAAAGUGCUAAGAGCUAUUCCACUCCACUACAGCCAGUGGCCCUUCCAGAUAAACCUUGGAGCAAGAUAGCUAUUGAUAUUGUGGGCCCAUUUGAGCGUGCACCAGCCGACUGCCGUUUCGUUAUAUCGGUUGUUGAUUAUUUUUCCAAAUGGCCAGAAGUUGCUUUCUGCAGGGAUGUGUCUACCACUAAAGUGAUGGACUUCCUCCUGUCAAUAUUUGCACGAGAAGGCUACCCCGACGAACUGGUCUCGGAUCAUGGACCACAAUUUACAUCCCGAGAAUUCGAGUCCUUUCUUCAAGACAGGGGCAUCAAGCACAGCUUCUCGGCUGUGUAUCACCCACAGGCAAAUGGACAGGUGGAAAGGUUCAACCGUGUGCUCAAAUCUUAUAUUCAGUUGGCCUUGCUAGAGCAGCGACCAGUGAAGAACACCGUUACAGAGUACUUGGGGAUCUUCAGAGUUACUCCUCACAGUACCACUGGCUUUUCUCCUGCAGUGCUUCUGCAUGGCCGGCACAUCCGGACAUCCUUGGACAUCAUCGGACAUCCCACCUCUAGCUUCUUCACGGACCCCGCUCUGGAGAUGUCCUCACUUCGGAAGAGGGUGAAAGAGCACCAGCGCAAGAACAAAGUGUACGCUGACCGACGAAGAGCAGCCCGAGUACCGCAGUUCCAAGUUGGGAAGUAUGUGCGCAUUAAGAAACCAACUCCUGGUCCGAAAGGUACUCCCAGCUUUGGACCUCCAAUGAAGAUCCUUAAGCGCAUCGGGCGUUGGUCCUUCUGCCUGGAGGACGGGCGAACUUGGAAUGCGUCACAGCUGACUGCAGUCCCAACGGGAGCAUCGCCACAACGUGCGGUACGAUGGGAUGACGACUACCAAACUGCGCCGCUACAUGGAGCACAAGCCUCUUCGCUGCCAAGUCCACGGACACCUGCCAGAACCUCUGGGCAGUUGGAGCUAUCCCCGUCGAUAUCUUCAGAUCCAUCACAGCCGCAGGGUCCAGUACGUGCAAGCCUUGCUUCAGAAGAUGGUGACAGUGCUUCCGUUGUCAUCGAAACUGCUGGCGAGCCGCCAGCGUUUCGUCGGUCCACAAGAGACAGAAGACCACCGGCAAGGUUGCAGGACUAUGUGCUUGGAUAUAAACAUUGACUGGCUUGUGAAUAUGUCUGUAUUAAGGAAGGGGUAGAUGUAGUGUCGUAGGGCGACACUAGGUGCCCUCAGUUGCAUAACUAUGAAAUCCAUAAAGAGAUGGCACCACUGUUGCCCGGGUAUAUAUAUGGGUGCUCGCAUGAAUAAAGGGUCUUGCGUCUGGUGUGAUAUGGGUUGACAUCUGUCUCAUUCUUCUGCUGGCCAACACUACAAAGAGCUGCCUCAUCGCAGGCGUCAAAAAUCUGUUCACUGCCGAGCACGCAGUGACAGCCGUCAUCGACCUCUUUCGCCGCUGGUCGGGAACCUCUACGAGCACGGCGCGAAACGUGGACUUGAUCAAGCUUGUGGGUCUGCUACACUUCAGGUACGCAAUUGCCAGCGUGUUAUACAUGUACUACAAAUUAUCAUUCGAGAAAAAAGAAUCCACCUACGUCAUACGCGUUCAGCUUGCGCCAUAUAUCGAUUUAGAAGCGUCAAGUGCCGGACAUGCCAUGUUCGAGGCUGCCAGGAGACACGCUGGCAUAAACGCUACGCAGGCAGACGUGCUUAGUCUAAUUCGCCGAUUACGCAUGACGCGCAAGACCUCUGAUAGUGAGCACUCUAUCGUCCCGAUACCGUUGUUAGGCGAACAGUUUCCAAAGGAGGGCAUAUCUACGUGGCAAGAGAUGUUGAGCGCAUUCCCAGUGAUUGCCAUCGAAAACCCUCCCGACGUCGCGGCAGUCUUAAGCAUAUUGACGGACAAAAACAUCCUCGUUCAAGCAGCCGCGCUACUGUACUUCGCCAUACACUCGACGCUGGCCACGUUGGACGACGAAAUUGGGCAGGAUGCUAGCGGAGUGGAUCACGCGGCGCUUUGCGAAAUAGUGACCAUGAGACUUUCUCCACUCUGGGAUGUGUUGGCGACGCAGCAGAUGACUAGUCCAGACCGUGACCAGGUUGUGCUGGAAAUGUUCAACAAGAUCUCUGAAGCCGUGAUUGCGGACGCCCAAGUUUUCUUCUCUGCCCACCUGGACGCCAACGCGGUGCGGAGUGUGGUGCGAAGCAUUCAUAUUGUUUUGCCUGAAAACCUGACUGCGCCCUACAAACGCCAUCUGCCCUCCAUAAGCGAGAACUACUUCGAGAAUAAGUUUGAAAUUCGGAGCUUCUAUUAUCAGAUACGCAGCAGCAGUGCUUUGCGGGGCCUCUCUGCGUUGUACAGUCGGCGCGUCGACUUGACUCACACAUCCCUCGUGAGAUUCGGCAACCAGAUCGCCGUUACGGCAAGCGUCUACGCGCUUCUCAGUUUCGGCAAGGAGACCGCCGGAGGAAACCGCAGCAUAGCCGACGGCGCAGGUGUCAUCAACGCGGCCGUGCUGGGCGUCAUGCUUGCCGAUGUCCUAUGGGACAAGAUUUUCGACCACGCACAGCGGGACACCGACAGCUGGGAAGGGCUGGCAGCGCACCUGCGCUGCCUUCGACGACAAAGUGGAGGUGUUGUGGACACUGAACUGAAGUACCCAAUUUUGUCGAUGUCAGCCGCGGUCCGUGCCUUUGCCACACCCAGCUGGCACGACCGGGCCCCGGUAUUCGGCUACCACAGCUUGUCAGCCAGCCAGGUGUUCUUCAUACUCUUCUUUGUGCACCACGUUUGUCUCCCGAGGGGUUCCUAUGGGAGUGGAGUGAGAGCGUCGGCGCUGAUGCGGGGCUUCGACGUGUUCUUCAAGGCUUUCGACUGUGCGGGGACGCCUAUGCGGAACGCAGUGGACUCCUGCGAGAAAGCGCGGCGAUGAGUGAUGUGCUGUGUGUCCUCUAGCACCUGUGGAACUACGAGACGACAACGAGGGCAGCAACGCGAAUCAUGCUUAUUGGUGUGCCACCGCACAGUUCGAGAACAACUCGCACGAACAUUGGUCUCAUUUCCCUUUCGCAGUGCCUUAUUUUGCAUCUAAAUGUUUCCAUCACUCGCGAAACUGUUUCUGCGUUUCCGAAUUUGCCAAGCUGCUUUAUUGUGAUAUAUAUGGAACUAGCGUGAAGGAUGGCGGUCGUGUAAAAUUUUUUUUCUGGUUCGUGAGUUUUUCUGCGUAAUUUAUUUUCUCGCCCGACGGUUUUCAAAAAUAAUGGCUCCUGCUUUAGCGUAGCUGGUGAACAUAGAUAAUAUCAGUGCUGUCAGUAGGAAUCGCUUUAUAGGUGUGUUACAGACUCUUUGUUGCUUGUUGUGUAGAUUUCCGUGGAUCGAAACGUGUUCAGUGGGCUACUCUACAGUGACGAACUUUUCGACACCUAGUGCUGUUCGGGAACUGCUCUGUUAUGUGGUCUUCAAAUAUAGGGCGUUACUUUACGUUCAUUUCUGUCGAGAGAACUGCACAUUCGUAAGCCUUGGCGUCAGUUUUAGCAGAUUUAUAAACGUCCUGCGGGUUUUGUUUGGGCAUGACGGCUGUUUACAUGUCAUUACUUAACGUGAACAAUUCUUGGCUGUAGCUGGCAAGAUAUUCCCCUUGUGCGAACACAACAGUCCUCUUUUAAGGAGGACCUUGUUUAAAAGCCACACACACAUUUAAGCUAUUCUUCAAGCUUGAACAGUAGCUUGUAUUGUUCUAUUGCGUUGAACAAUCCCUAACAAUUGCAGUGCGGCUUACACUGCCGAGAAACGCUUAUGCAUUUUAAGCCAAGACGAGAGCAUUUUUGACUCUGAUCAGCACCUUUGCGUUAUCAAGAUAGCACGAGCACGUUCCGAAUAAAAGCGUUUAACUGCGCUCUGUAA